rnacentral:rRNA from 1 species
AACGACUCUCGGCAACGGAUAUCUCGGCUCUCGCAUCGAUGAACAACGUAGCGAAAUGCGAUACUUGGUGUGAAUUGCAGAAUCCCGUGAACCAUCGAGUCUUUGAACGCUUGUUGCGCCCGAASCCACUAGGCCGAGGGCACGUCUGCCUGGGUGUCA